AAAAUCAAUUUAAUUUGAUAUGAAUAAAUUUAUUUUUUAAUUGAUUGAUAUAAUUGAUAUUUAAUAAAAAUAUUUUUUUUUUUUAUAAAUUUAGAUAAAAUUAUUUUAAUUAUAGUUUAUUUAGUAUAGAGAUAGAAUAUUUAAAUAAUUUGAAAAUUUAUAUUUUUAAAAGAAGAUUUAGUUUAUUGUACCUUGUGUAUCAGGGUUUAUUAAUAAAUAGUUAUGGAAUUUUAGUUUUCUCGAAUUUAAAAGAGCUAGAAAAUUAUAUAUUUUAUUGUGAAAUAAAUAUUUAAAAUAAUUUUUUAGAAAUGAAAUGUUAUUCGUUUUUAAAUUUAUCUAGUUUUUUAAGAAAUAAAUUUAAUUUAGUUUUUAUUUUUUAUUUUUAUAAAUUUUUAUUUAAAUAAAAAUAAGAAAUAAUAUUUUAAGGGAUAAGCUUUAAAAUAAAAUUUUAAAAAUAAUUUUUAAUUUUAUAAAAUUUAUAGAAGUGGAAGUAUUUAAUUAAUAAUUAAUGUGUUAUAACUAAUUUUAUAUUAAAAUUAAAUUUUUAUAUUAUUUUAAAUUUUUUAUUAAAAUUAUUAAUUUAAUGUUAUAAUUAAUGUAAUAAUGAUAAAAUUAGUAUAAAUUUAAUGUAAAGUUAGCUUAUUUAUAUUAGGUUAAGUUAAGGAAUUCGGCAAAUAUUUUUUUCGCCUGUUUAUUAAAAACAUGUCUUUUUGAUUAUAAUUUAAAGUCUGACCUGCCCUAUGAUAAAUAUAUUGAAUGGCCGCGAUAAUUUGAUCGUGCAAAGGUAGCAUAAUAAUUAGUUUUUUAAUUGGGAACUGGAAUGAAAGGUCGAACGAAAAAAAGACUGUCUCAAUUUAAAUUUUAUUAGAAUUUUAUUUUUAAGUUAAAAAGCUUAAAUAUUUUUAAAAGACGAGAAGACCCUAUAGAGUUUAUAUAUUUUAUAAUUUUUUAUUUAGUUUAAGAAUUUAAUUUUAGAAUUAAUUAUAAAAUAUUUGGUUGGGGUGAUUGAAAAAUUGAGUAAACUUUUUUUAUUAAUUAAACAUUUAUUUAUGAUUAAAUGAUCCAUUAUUAAUGAUUAUAAGAUUAAAUUACCUUAGGGAUAACAGCGUAAUUUUUUUUGAGAGUUCUUAUCGAAAAAAAAGUUUGCGACCUCGAUGUUGGAUUAAAAUUAACUUUUGGUGUAGAAGCUAGAUAGGUUAGGUCUGUUCGACCUUUAAAAUUUUACAUGAUCUGAGUUUAAACCGGUGUAAGCCAGGUUGGUUUCUAUCUUUAAAAAAUAUUAAAUAUUUUAGUACGAAAGGAUCAAAUAUUUAUAAAAAUUAUUAUUUUAAGAAUAUUAUUAAAUUCAUAUUACUUUGGCAGAAUAGUGU
rnacentral:rRNA from 1 species